UAUACAUAAAAUUCUAAAAUUAAUGUAUUGAUAUCUUAAUAUGUUGUUUUAAAAAAAUGACCAUGAAAAAACGAAAUAAAGAAUAUGACAUUUUAUAUAGACAAAGAUGGGUUAAAGUUAUGAAAGGCAAAACAGAUUGUAAAAAUAACGUAGAGUUACUUUUAUUAGAAACAUGAAACCUAUUAGAUGGAUACUAGGCAAAAGAACUGAGUUUGCUUUGAACAAGAUAGGAAGGGGUUGAAACACUCCGAGUGCAUG
rnacentral:lncRNA from 1 species